rnacentral:rRNA from 1 species
GGGCCCGCACAAGCGGUGGAGCAUGUGGUUUAAUUCGAUGAUACGCGAGGAACCUUACCAGGGCUUAAAUGUAAGUUGCAUAGAUCAGAGAUGGUCUUUUCUUCGGACUACUUACAAGGUGCUGCAUGGUUGUCGUCAGCUCGUGCCGUGAGGUGUCAGGUUAAGUCCUAUAACGAGCGCAACCCCUAUCGUUAGUUGCCAGCGAGUAAUGUCGGGAACUCUAACAAGACUGCCGGUGCAAACCGUGAGGAAGGUGGGGAUGACGUCAAAUCAUCACGGCCCUUACGUCCUGGCUACACACGUGCUACAAUGGCCGGUACAGAGAGCAGCCACUACGCGAGUAGGCGCG